UUAAGUUCAGCGGGUAUUCCUACCUGAUCCGAGGUCAACACUUGAAAAAUACUCAGCUAAGAGCAGUGUAAAAAGACCGUCGCCCACAGAAUCAUCCCGCGUACAUGCUUGAUUAGAAGCUCCUCGUACCGGUUCCUUCUGGGACGCCGUCACUAUCUUUAAGGCCAGUUGUAGACGGCUAUAACUGAAGCCCAACACCA
rnacentral:misc_RNA from 1 species